CAAUGCCGCGUGGACGAAGAAGGCCCUCGGGUCGUAAAGUCCUGUUCAUAAGAACGAUAAGGGCAUGGCUAAUAUCCAUGUCUGCGGACGGUACUUGUGAAGAAAGCACCGGCUAACUCCGUGCCAGCAGCCGCGGUAAUACGGAGGGUGCGAGCGUUGUUCGGAAUUAUUGGGCGUAAAGCGGGUGCAGGCGGUAGAGUGUGUCUGAUGUGAAAGCCCGAGGCUCAACCUCGGAAGUGCAUUGGAAACUGCUCUACUUGAGUCUUGGAGAGGAUAGCGGAAUUCCUGGUGUAGAGGUGAAAUUCGUAGAUAUCAGGAGGAACACCGGUGGCGAAGGCGGCUAUCUGGGCAAUGACUGACGCUGAGACCCGAAAGCGUGGGAAGCAAACAGGAUUAGAUACCCUGGUAGUCCACGCCGUAAACGAUGCAUACUAGAUGUUGCGGGAGAUUGCCACCUGCGGUGUCGUAGCUAACGCGUUAAGUAUGCCGCCUGGGGAGCC
rnacentral:rRNA from 1 species